UCGUAGCAGAUUUAUUAUUAUUCAUUGCCAUUGUUUUUAGGACACAUGUGAUUUGCCAGAUGUUUGCCAACUACACUGAACUUAAUGAAAAUGGCUAUUGCAUAAAUUGUUAUUUGCCCGAGUGUGUGAUUAACGCGACUGGAUACAGCGCUCACCUGGAAUUGGAGGCAAAUGUAACAGUGUCUAAUGAUGCAAGUGAAGCAAAUGAUUUCGCUGCAUGCGUACCAGAUCCAUAUCGUAUAUAUGAUAAACUAACGGCCUACAUUUGUUUUUGGUCCACAGGGAUGGGAUGUCAGGCAGUCGCUGCUAAUCAUUAUAAGCUCAUUUCCUAUAUAGAGGAAGGCAUCUGUUCGCAGUGUUACCUGAAUUGUCCCUGUACUUGGGAUAUUCCAUCAUCUGCCAUCUGUCCUAAUAGACUUGAUAGACAUUUUAGGCUUAUCAAAACAUGUUUGACCACAAUAGCAAUGUACUGCUUAAGCACCUAGAACAGAUCAUCAUAAUAAAAUAUUUUAAUUUAUUUGAAAUAAAA